CGGUCCAGACUCCUACGGGAGGCAGCAGUGGGGAAUAUUGCACAAUGGGCGCAAGCCUGAUGCAGCCAUGCCGCGUGUGUGAAGAAGGCCUUCGGGUUGUAAAGCACUUUCAGCGGGGAGGAAGGCGUUAAGGUUAAUAACCUUGGCGAUUGACGUUACCCGCAGAAGAAGCACCGGCUAACUCCGUGCCAGCAGCCGCGGUAAUACGGAGGGUGCAAGCGUUAAUCGGAAUUACUGGGCGUAAAGCGCACGCAGGCGGUCUGUCAAGUGAGA
rnacentral:rRNA from 1 species